UGGGCUGUGGCUCAGUGGUAGAAUGCUUGCCUUGCAAGUAUGGGGCCCUGGGUUCGAUCCUCAGCUCCACAU
rnacentral:tRNA from 1 species